AUUGAACGCUGGCGGCAUGCUUUACACAUGCAAGUCGAACGGUAACGCGGGGGCAACCCUGGCGACGAGUGGCGAACGGGUGAGUAAUACAUCGGAACGUACCCGGUAGUGGGGGAUAGC
rnacentral:rRNA from 1 species